ensembl:snRNA U6 U6 spliceosomal RNA
GUGCUUGCUACAGCAGCACAUAUACUAAAAUUGGAAUGAUACAAAGAUUAGCAUAGUCCCCGUGUGAAGAUGACACAAAUUCAUGAAGCAUUACCUAUUUCA